rnacentral:rRNA from 1 species
UACAGAGGGUGCGAGCGUUAAUCGGAAUUACUGGGCGUAAAGCGUGCGUAGACGGUUAUUUAAGUCGGGUGUGAAAGCCCCGGGCUCAACCUGGGAAUUGCAUUCGAGACUGAGUAGCUAGGGUACGGUAGAGGGAAGUGGAAUUUCCGGUGUAGCGGUGAAAUGCGUAGAUAUCGGAAGGAACACCAGUGGCGAAAGCGGCUUCCUGGUCCAGCACCGACGUUCAGGCACGAAAGCGUGGGGAGCAAACAGG